rnacentral:lncRNA from 1 species
AGCAGGAUUAAAGCUUCAUUAAAGAAGCCUAAGAAACAUGUUACUUUUUCCAGAUAUUUGGCAGUGACCCAAGGUCAGCAUUGGUUUCCCACUAUAUACACUAUAACCUUCUUGUUUCUGUCUUUCAUUUAGGGGCCAUUAAGUUUAAUGAUGGCCUGAGCUUACAGGAAAGUUGCCGCCUUAUUGAAGCUCUGUCCUCAUGCCAGCUGCCAUUCCAGUGUGCUCACGGGAGACCUUCUAUGCUGCCGUUAGCUGACAUAGACCACUUGGAACAGGAAAAACAGAUUAAACCCAACCUCACUAAACUUCGCAAAAUGGCCCAGGCCUGGCGUCUCUUUGGAAAAGCAGAGUGUGAUACAAGGCAGAGCCUGCAGCAAUCCAUGCCUCCCUGUGAGCCACCAUGAGAACAGAAUCACUGGUCUAAAAGGAACAAAGGGAUGUUCACUGUAUGCCUCUGAGCAGAGAGCAGCAGCAGCAGGUACCAGCACGGCCCUGACUGAAUCAGCCCAGUGUCCCUGAGCAGCUUAGACAGCAGGGCUCUCUGUAUCAGUCUUUCUUGAGCAGAUGAUUCCCCUAGUUGAGUAGCCAGAUGAAAUUCAAGCCUAAAGACAAUUCAUUCAUUUGCAUCCAUGGGCACAGAAGGUUGCUAUAUAGUAUCUACCUUUUGCUACUUAUUUAAUGAUAAAAUUUAAUGACAGUU